CAUAAUCUCUGAGGAGAAAAGCAGGGGAUCGCAAGACCUUGCGCUUUGGAGCGGCCGAUGUCUGAUUAGCUAGUUGGUGAGGUAGAGGCUUACCAAGGCUUCGAUCAGUAGCUGGUCUGAGAGGACGACCAGCCACACUGGGACUGUGACACGGCCCAGACUCCUACGGGAGGCAGCAGUGGGGAAUUUUGGACAAUGGGGGCAACCCUGAUCCAGCCAUGCCGCGUGAGUGAAGAAGGCCUUCGGGUUGUAAAGCUCUUUCAGCCGGAACGAAACGGUCACGGUUAAUAACUGUGAUCACUGACGGUACCGGAAGAAGAAG
rnacentral:rRNA from 1 species